GUUGGGUAGGGGAGCGUUCUGUAAGCCUGUGAAGGUGGCCUGUGAGGGUUGCUGGAGGUAUCAGAAGUGCGAAUGCUGACAUAAGUAACGAUAAAGCGGGUGAAAAGCCCGCUCGCCGGAAGACCAAGGGUUCCUGUCCAACGUUAAUCGGGGCAGGGUGAGUCGACCCCUAAGGCGAGGCCGAAAGGCGUAGUCGAUGGGAAACGGGUUAAUAUUCCCGUACUUGGUGUUACUGCGAAGGGGGGACGGAGAAGGCUAUGUUGGCCGGGCGACGGUUGUCCCGGUUUAAGCGUGUAGGUGUGUGUUCCAGGUAAAUCCGGUUCACUUUAACACUGAGGCGUGAUGACGAGGCACUACGGUGCUGAAGUAACAAAUGCCCUGCUUCCAGGAAAAGCCUCUAAGCAUCAGGUAACAUCAAAUCGUACCCCAAACCGACACAGGUGGUCAGGUAGAGAAUACCAAGGCGCUUGAGAGAACUCGGGUGAAGGAACUAGGCAAAAUGGUGCCGUAACUUCGGGAGAAGGCACGCUGACACGUAGGUGAAGUGAUUUACUCAUGGAGCUGAAGUCAGUCGAAGAUACCAGCUGGCUGCAACUGUUUAUUAAAAACACAGCACUGUGCAAACACGAAAGUGGACGUAUACGGUGUGACGCCUGCCCGGUGCCGGAAGGUUAAUUGAUGGGGUCAGCGCAAGCGAAGCUCCUGAUCGAAGCCCCGGUAAACGGCGGCCGUAACUAUAACGGUCCUAAGGUAGCGAAAUUCCUUGUCGGGUAAGUUCCGACCUGCACGAAUGGCGUAAUGAUGGCCAGGCUGUCUCCACCCGAGACUCAGUGAAAUUGAACUCGCUGUGAAGAUGCAGUGUACCCGCGGCAAGACGGAAAGACCCCGUGAACCUUUACUAUAGCUUGACACUGAACAUUGAGCCUUGAUGUGUAGGAUAGGUGGGAGGCUUUGAAGUGUGGACGCCAGUCUGCAUGGAGCCGACCUUGAAAUACCACCCUUUAAUGUUUGAUGUUCUAACGUGGACCCGUUACCCGGGUUGCGGACAGUGUCUGGUGGGUAGUUUGACUGGGGCGGUCUCCUCCUAAAGAGUAACGGAGGAGCACGAAGGUUGGCUAAUCCUGGUCGGACAUCAGGAGGUUAGUGCAAUGGCAUAAGCCAGCUUGACUGCGAGCGUGACGGCGCGAGCAGGUGCGAAAGCAGGUCAUAGUGAUCCGGUGGUUCUGAAUGGAAGGGCCAUCGCUCAACGGAUAAAAGGUACUCCGGGGAUAACAGGCUGAUACCGCCCAAGAGUUCAUAUCGACGGCGGUGUUUGGCACCUCGAUGUCGGCUCAUCACAUCCUGGGGCUGAAGUAGGUCCCAAGGGUAUGGCUGUUCGCCAUUUAAAGUGGUACGCGAGCUGGGUUUAGAACGUCGUGAGACAGUUCGGUCCCUAUCUGCCGUGGGCGCUGGAGAACUGAGGGGGGCUGCUCCUAGUACGAGAGGACCGGAGUGGACGCAUCACUGGUGUUCGGGUUGUCAUGCCAAUGGCACUGCCCGGUAGCUAAAUGCGGAAGAGAUAAGUGCUGAAAGCAUCUAAGCACGAAACUUGCCCCGAGAUGAGUUCUCCCUGAGACUU
rnacentral:rRNA from 1 species